rnacentral:misc_RNA from 1 species
GUGUGAUAGCCAUCAUUGUUGUGAAGAUUCUCAACCCCAACAACAAAGAUAUCAGGGACAUUCCUGGAUUGGCACCUCCAGCCCCCUCAAGGAGGCUGUUGUACCUAAGGGAUCCAGAACAUUUUGCUUAGAUUCAUCAUCACAGACAAGUACUUUUUCCCACUCAAUUUUUAUGAUCCGUUGGAGUAGUGGGAUUAAAGCUAUUUGCGGGCUCGUACCAUUGUUUUUCCCUUCUCCCCAAUUCAUUUCUCAUCUGAGUUGUGCAUAUCACAUUUGUGAUUAUAUGUGUAAAUCAUAUUUGAGGGCUUUUUGCAUUGUUUUGAAUGU